UCAGUUGCAUUUCAUAAAACACUUCCAGGACCAGAGGAAGAUGCGGUAAUUGACAAAUUAAUUGGAAUGGGUGUGUAUUUUGAUGGUCCCUCUCGUUUACCUUUGACGUGUUUGACUCCACGCGCAAAUGACGUUUGCAGGUAACCCCCCAGAUCAGGGAAAUUAGAGAGAAUGCAUCAUCUGUCAUCGAGAUUCAUUGUAGCGUCAAAGUGCAGCGCCGCAGCCCCAAAAACGCAUGUGAUACAAGAGAUUCAACAAGGCCAGCGAUCAAGCUGUCAAAUUAUUGUCGAAUCGUUCGUUCAUUAGGUGGAUAAUCAGAGAUAUAUCGAAAUAAUUCAGGAUGUCGGAGACGAAUGAUAAUUCUUAUAACAUAAACGGAAUGUAGUCUCAGACAGAUAAUGGAUAACGAAACUGAAAACAUUUGCGACACGCAGACACUUCAUUCUGAUAUGCAAACUCUGGUCUACGA
rnacentral:misc_RNA from 1 species